rnacentral:rRNA from 1 species
CACGGGUGCGUAACACGUAACUAACCUACCUAUAUCUGGGGGAUAGCCCGCCGAAAAGCGGAUUAAUACCGCAUAACACUUGAUUUCGGCAUCGAGAUUUAGUUAAAGAUUUAUUGGUUAUAGAUGGGGUUGCGGGUCAUUAGCUAGUUGGUUGGGUAAUGGCUGACCAAGGCGACGAUGACUAGGGGAGCUGAGAGGCUGGUCCCCCACACGGGCACUGAGAUACGGGCCCGACUCCUACGGGAGGCAGCAGUAGGGAAUAUUGGGCAAUGGGCGAGAGCCUGACCCAGCCAUGCCGCGUGCAGGAAGAAGGCUUUCUGAGUCGUAAACUGCUUUUGACAGGGAAGAAUAAGCACUACGUGUAGUGUGAUGACGGUACCUGCAGAAUAAGCACCGGCUAACUCCGUGCCAGCAGCCGCGGUAAU